rnacentral:rRNA from 1 species
UACGAAGGGGGCUAGCGUUGCUCGGAAUCACUGGGCGUAAAGCGCACGUAGGCGGCUUUCUAAGUCAGGGGUGAAAUCCUGGAGCUCAACUCCAGAACUGCCUUUGAUACUGGGGAGCUCGAGUCCGGAAGAGGUGAGUGGAACUCCGAGUGUAGAGGUGAAAUUCGUAGAUAUUCGGAAGAACACCAGUGGCGAAGGCGGCGAUCUGGGAAGAUACUGACGCUGAGGUGCGAAAGCGUGGGGAGCAAACAGG